rnacentral:rRNA from 1 species
GACGAACGCUGGCGGCGUGCUUAACACAUGCAAGUCGAACGGAAAGGCCCUGCUUUUGUGGGGUGCUCGAGUGGCGAACGGGUGAGUAACACGUGAGUAACCUGCCCUUGACUUUGGGAUAACUUCAGGAAACUGGGGCUAAUACCGGAUAGGAGCUCCUGCUGCAUGGUGGGGGUUGGAAAGUUUCGGCGGUUGGGGAUGGACUCGCGGCUUAUCAGCUUGUUGGUGGGGUAGUGGCUUACCAAGGCUUUGACGGGUAGCCGGCCUGAGAGGGUGACCGGGAGUAGGGGGCGCGGGUGGCGGCCCAGACGGCUGGGGGGGGGGGCAGGGGCGAAUAUGGCACGUGGGCGGGACGCCGGGAGCGGUGCGGCGGUGUGCGGGGUGGCGGCCUGGGGGUGGGAACGUGCUUCCGGCGGGGAAAAAUCGGGGGGUACGGGAGGGAGAAGCGAAGCACAGGGUAACAACGCGCCAGCGGCCGUGUUAAUAGGCGGAAGACCACACGUCUGACC